GACGAACGCUGGCGGCGUGCUUAACACAUGCAAGUCGAACGGUGAAGCCCCAGUUUGCUGGAGUGGAUCAGUGGCGAACGGGUGAGUAACACGUUAGCAACCUGCCCCUGACUCUGGCAUAAGCUCAGGAAACGGCGGCUAAUACUGGAUACGAGAUGCGUCCGCAUGGGCACUCUCUGGAAAGUUAGUCGGUUGGGGAUGGGCUCGCGGCCUAUCAGCUUGUUGGUGAGGUAAUGGCACACCAAGGCGAGGACGGGUAGCGGGCCUGGGAGGGCGACCGGCCACACUGGAACUGAGAUGCGGCCCAGACUCCUACGGGAGGCAGGAGUGGAGAAUGUUGCACAAUGGGCGGGAGCCUGGUGCAGCGAAGCCGCGUGGGGGAAGACGGCCUGCGGGUUGUAAAGCACAUUCAGCAGGGAAGAGGCGAAAAUGACGGUACCGGAAGAAGAAGCCCCGGCUAACUACGUG
rnacentral:rRNA from 1 species